rnacentral:tRNA from 1 species
GCGCCCCUAGCUCAUCUGGUUAGAGCACCGGACUUUUAAUCCGGCGGGCUGGGUUCGAGUCCCAGGGGGCGCA